rnacentral:lncRNA from 1 species
AAGAAAGUCGAGUUGCGAGUUACGAAAGUCGAGUUGCGAGUUAAAAAAGUCGAGUUGCGAGUUACGAAAGUCGAGUUGCGAGUUACGAAAGUCGAGUUGCGAGUUACGAAAGUCGAGUUGCGAGUUACAAAAGUCGAGUUGCGAGUUACGAAAGUCGAGUUGCGAGUUACAAAAGUCGAGUUGCGAGUUACGAAAGUCGAGUUGCGAGUUACGAAAGUCGAGUUGCG